UGCUACUCACUUAUGACUUUCUUCUUGGCCAGGGAGGCUCUGUGGUUUGCCAGAAGACACGGGGCAGUUGAGUGCAGUGGUGAAAUGCAGUAUAGUGCGGCAGUGCCUCUAUCACUUACUAUCAGCAAAGCCUUGGGAAAUGUAUGGAACCUCUCUGUGUCCCAUCUGUUACAUGGGGAUAAUAAUAGAAACUACUUCAUAGGGUUGUUGUGAGGAUUAGAUGAUCCAUUAAAAAAUUAAAAAUUGGACUUUAUAAAAAUUUAAGACUUUUGUUCUGAGAAAGAUACUAUUAAGAGAAUGAAAAGACAAGUUACGUGCUGAAAGAAAAUAUCUGCAAAAACUCAUUUAAAAAUAGCUGAAGUACUGAACAGAUACUUCACCAAAGAAGACAUUUGAUGGCAAAUAAGCAUAUGAAAAAAAAUGCUCAACACCAUUAGGAAAAUAUAAAUUAAAACCAUAAUCA
rnacentral:lncRNA from 1 species